rnacentral:rRNA from 1 species
AUUGAACGCUGGCGGCAGGCCUAACACAUGCAAGUCGAACGAGUGGCGGACGGGUGAGUAAUGUCUGGGAAACUGCCUGAUGGAGGGGGAUAACUACUGGAAACGGUAGCUAAUACCGCAUACCAUCGGAUGUGCCCAGAGGGGAUUGGCUUGUUGGUGGGGUAACGGCGCACCAAGGCGACGAUCCCUAGCUGGUCUGAGAGGUUGACCAGCGACACGGGAACUGAGACACGGGCCAGACUCCUACGGGAGGCAGCAGUGGGGAAUAUUGCACAAUGGGCGCAAGCCGGAUGCAGCCAGGCCGCGUGUAUGAAGGAGGCCUUCGGGUUGUAAAGUACUUUCAGCGGGGAGGCGUUACCCGCAGAAGAAGCACCGGCUAACUCCGUGCCAGCAGCCGCGGUAAUAC